AGCCGGCGACACCUUCACUGAGUUUCUGAUCUAUCAUGCUGACGACGGUUGGUGCUAUGCCAACCGUGGCGUUAACGGAUAACAGAGAAUCUGGGUUCGAUUCUGGAGAGGCCGCAUGAGAAACGGCGACCACUUCUAAGGAAGGCAGCAGGCACGCAAAUUACCCACUUCGGACACCGAGAGGUAGUGACGAACAAUACCGAUGCGGCGCACUUACGUGUCGCCGUAAUCGGAAUGAGUACACUUCAAAUCCUUUAACGAGGAUCCACUGGAGGGCAAGCCUGGUGCCAGCAGCCGCGGUAAUUCCAGCUCCAGCAGCGUAUAUUUAUAUUGCUGCGUUUAAAAAGCUCGUAGUUGAAGCGUCAGACGCGGGAGGGCGGACGGCCGUACUGGUCGCUCUCGCCCGACCGAGCCAGGCGCAGAGGGCGCGCGUCGCUUGCACUUCGCCGUGUGAGCGCGCCGCCGCUGCACGUUCACCUUGAAGAAAUUGAACCGCUUAGAGGGGGCGAGCAGCUUGUACAGCUCAGCAUGGUAUGAUGGAACAUGGGCUCGUACUCAUUUUGUUGGUUAGAGAGUUGGCGAGCCAAUGAUUAACAGGGACUGCCGGGGGCAUUCGUACUCGGACGGGAGAGGUGAAAUUCAAGGAUCGUCCGAAGACGCCCUACUGCGAAAGCAUUUGCCAAGAAUGUUUUCAUUAAUCAAGAACGAAAGUCAGAGGUGCGAAGGCGAUCAGAUACCGCCGUAGUUCUGACCGUAAACGUUGCCGACUGGCAAUUGGGCGCACUUCUAUAGAAGUUGCCGCCAGCAGUAUUUCCCGGGAAACCAAAGUCAUUGGGUUCCGGGGGGAGUAUGGUUGCAAAGCUGAAACUUAAAGGAAUUGACGGAAGGGCACCACCAGGAGUGGAGCCUGCGGCUUAAUUUGACUCAACACGGGAAACCUCACCCGGCCCGAACACUGUUAUGACAGACAGGUUGAGAGCUCUUUCUCGAUUCAGUGGUUGGUGGUGCAUGGCCGUUCUUAGUUCGUGGAGCGAUCUGUCUGGUUAAUUCCGAUAACGAACGAGACUCUUGCCUGCUAAAUAGACGGCGCCGUCACCGACGGCGACCGUUCGCUUCUUAGAGGGACAAGCGGCUUUUAGCCGCGUGAAGCCGAGAGCAAUAACAGGUCAGUGAUGCCCUCAGAUGUUCGGGGCCGCACGCGCGCUACACUGUUUGCAUCAGCGUGUUUCUCCCGCGCCGGCUGGCGUGGGCAACCCGUUGAACCGCAAACGUGCUAGGGAUCGGAGAUUGCAAUUGUUCUCCGUGAACGAGGAAUUCCUUGUACUGGCGAGUCAUCAGCUCGCGGGGAAUCUGUCCCUGCCCUUUGUACACACCGCCCGUCGCUACUACCGAUUGAGUGGUUUAGUGAGGCUCACGGACUGCGCGCGGCACACGG
rnacentral:rRNA from 1 species